GUGAACUCUGAGCGUGAGGUUUGGUAACCGUGUGCAUUCCGUGUGUGGUUUCUCAGUGUGGAGCUGGUGUUCCUGAAUGGAGUUGCCUGCGUGCGUACUGGCCAGUGGAGACAGAGAGCAAUCUGGGUUGCUAUGCAACCAGCGCCUGUGCCCAGCAGAUAACACCAGAGGAAUUAACUGUCCUUGUCCUGCUCAGGCUCCAGAGGAGGGGCUGAUGCCAGUGGUUGGACCACAGCUUCCCCCACCUGCCAACCCAUGGCUCCACCGUGUGUGGGGGGGGACCUGAAGCCAGGUCCCAAUCCCUUGCUUUACAAAGAGCAUCCAAGGGGGACCCCUUGCCUCCUGUUAGGGGGUACCUGACUGCAGGGUGAAGAAGGGCCCUCUGAGAUCUUAGAUGCUGCAUAACCCUGUCUGCUUUGAUCUGCAAAUGAGCUGUGAAUUCAAGACAAACCUGGACUGGAAGGGAAGCUGUGAGAAGGCCCUGACUGGUGACAGGCUGUUGAGGGGCUGUCUAGGGCCAAGAACAAGAUGGACAGAAUGAGGCCAUCUCCUGGGGCUGCAGACAGGUCUGUGUGUUCACUGGCCCUGCUCCUGCAACAAGACUCCAGGCCCAAGGAGGAACAGGGCUGGGAGGAGGGGCAGGUCAUUCUGGAGUAGACAGGUCUCCUGAAGCUGUCAGGGCCUUGGCAUUCUGGGAAAACCAGGGACUGUCAGAUCCAGGGCUUGGAGAACUGAGCGCAGCCUGUCUGAGGGACUUGGGAUGAAUGGGUGAGACCUAGGGAGAUGCGGCAAUACAUGCAUGGGCUUCAGACUGAGCCUAGCAGUGGAGGUCCCUGCAGAGAGCCCUGUGCUGUUUGUGAAUAUGGGCCACCAGGAGCCGGGGCAGCAGGAGCAGGGCUCAUCUUCCCAGGAGCAAAGCCAUUGCACCUAAUCCCCCCCCCUUUCUCUCUUUUCUCUUCUUUUUUUUUUUCUUCCUUUUUGUCUCCUGUGAGUUGUAACCCUAUCAUGGGCAACGAAAGACUUAAGAGUCUCUCUUCCAAUUUUCGGCCCCCAAAAUGGUAAAUACAUUUAUUUUUCCACUUUCAUAUAAAUAAUAUUGUUUUCUCUUAACAUGGGUAAGUGUUCAGACCCAAACCUGGGUUCAAACACACUCAGAGCUGUGUGAUCUUGGGCCAGUCGCUUUACUUCUCUGAACAUCAGUCAUUUGUCUAGUCCAUGAACUUGCCAUAAGGAUGGAAGGGACUGUGUGCUAGGUUGAGCUCACGACAAACUGCCUUCACUGUGGAUGAAAGCAGGUCGAAUAUUGGUUCUUUCUUUUGGUUCAGACUUGAGGGAUAUUCAGUGCACUUGGUAGGUGGAAGCCAUGACUGCUGUCCUCUGCUGUCCUGGGCCUUUAGGUGCCAAUGAACUGCAGGGUCUAAGCUGCAGGCUGCUGCUCCCAGUAUGCCCACAGUAUGCAUCCCAGAGGAUGCAGAGUGGAGAUGAGGGAAUCUCUGGCCCAGGGGAGUUCCACGGCAUCAGAGGCCAAGCUCAGGGGCUGGCCUUCCCGCUAGGCCAGCAGCAGCCCCCAUCCCCACCUGCCCUCUGUGUUCCUUCCUCUCCUUGCCCCACUUACUGAGCAAAAGUCUUGUUUCCAUGUUGCCAUGGUUACCAUUUACUUGCGCACUCUCACACCAGGCUCCAAACGAACAGGCUUGGCGGGGGCAUUAUUAGCUCAUUUAUUCCUAACGGCAGCCGAACUUGAACCUCAUUUUUAACCCUUUGAGGUCAUCUGAAAACUUUAUCUUGUGCAGACACCAUUCCCGAACAGGAAAAUGCACUUAUUCUCACAGCACAGUUCCAGGAGUUUGGACAAACAUAGCAAUAAUCCAUGUGAUCAUCUCUGGUCUAAGACACCUUCUUUAUCCCAGAGAGCUUCCUGGUACUCAGUCUGUCAGUCCUCCCAGCUCCUCCACAGACCUUUCCUCCCACAGGCUCUGUCUGUCUGUCUGUCUGUCUGUCUUCCUUCCUCCUUCCCUUUAUUCCUUCUCCCCUCACUUCUUUCCUUCCUUCCUUCCUUUCUCCCUCUCUCCCUCCCUCCCUCCCUCCUUCUUCCUUCCCUCCCUCCCUCUUUCCUUUUCUCCUUUCUUUCCUUUCUUUCUUUGCAGAGCUACAGGUGGGACCCAGGGCCUUGGACACAUUAGGCAAGUUCUUGAAUCACUGGCCCUGGAGAUGUGCUUUCUAUCUUGCACGUUAGUUUUUACUCUAAAAGUUAUUUUAUUUAUUAUUAUUAUGAUGAUGAUGAUGAUGAUGAUGAUGUGUGUUUGAUGUAGAAGUGUGGGUGUGUGUGCCAGAGGACACAAAGUGUGUGCCACUUCACAAAGUCAGAGGACAGCUUUGUGAAGUCAGUUCUCUCCAGGAAUUCAACUCAGGUCAUCAGGCUUGUGCAGCAAGUGCCUUUUAGGCUAAGACCUCUCACAGGCCCCUCAUUUGAACUUUUCUACAUCCUAAGAGCGAAAUCAGUGUCUGUUUCCUAUCUGCCUUCUCUUGCCUUGGGCGUGUUCCUUUUCAGAAGGAUUAUUUUUACAUGAUUAUUGUACUUUAAUUACACCUGCCCCUCCCCUUUAAUUACUGAGGAGUUGCUGUGGACUGAUUUGUGAGUAGGCAGGGAAGCCUCUGGAGGAACUAUGCAGGCCAGCACCUUGUCUUGGCCCUCUCUCCCCGAGAACUAUGAAUGCCCUUUCUGUGGAGUCCAUGGCCAUGGUGGUGUUAGGUCAGGCCCACCUGAUGAGCAGUUUAUCUCUCCUCAGAGGCUUUACACACCAGGACCUGAGACCAGCAACACCCAGCGAUGUGCACAAGGUGCUGAAUCUCCACCGAGAACUAUGAGAAUUUCCCAGUCCUAGAACCCCAGGGCUCUCCAAUCUCAGGCAAGCUUGGGAUGGAAGGGCCUCUACUGCCUUGCACAGGGGUGAAAAACCAGGAAUUGAAUUGAAUCUUUAAUCUGGAGAUCUGGCAACCUGAGAGGAGGGUGAGUCAACACCCCCACAGACCUGCCUUCCAGGUCUUUAGCUGGCAGGUUGUGAAGGGAGGGGAAACAGUGGAUCAUUUUAAAGUUUAGUCUUGCCCCUCUGGUCAGGUUCUUGACUCAGAUUUACGGGGGUUAUAAAUGCCAUGCCUACUGAGUCAUGCCUUAUAUUUCCUCCUGAGCCAGGCAGGAUUGUUUGGAUGCCAUCUAGGCUGACCCCAAAACAAGCACACCUCAAGUAUGUGCAUAAGAAGAUUCCUUCCUCCAGAAUGAAGUGCAAGUGUGCCCUUGGGAGAGAGAAUAUCCAGCAUGUCUGACAUUGAGCCCUUACCAGACCCAGAUCUCAGCAAAAGAGGUCAGUGACCUGGAAGUAGUCAUAACUGGAACCCACCUGGCAACAGGAAGCAGGGUUUAUUAAGCAUAUGAAUCCUGAAGAAGUUAGGGGGCCAUUUGGCCUCAGCUGUGAGGUCUCUUAUCUUUGCCCAGCAGGAUUUCCUUGGAGCUGUAGACACAGAGGACAAGUGAGGACAAGCUAGUUAAUUAAGGCCACAUUCUAUAACUGGGGCUUUGGGUCAGUGCCCUCUGGUGCCCCAGACUCGCCUCCACUCUGGUCUCAGUCUCCUUCAGCCAUGGGGAAUUCUCAAGUCCUGCGGACAUCACUACUUCAAGGGGUGGGAAACAGAAGGCCUGGCUGCCUGGCCCUUAAAGUUUAGGUUCGGACAUCAGCUAACUCUGUAAGGAAGUAAGCACUAGCCUUAUGCUAAAUUAUCACUGCUCUGAGGUCCAGCCUCCAGCAGCACAGGGUCGGGGGACCUUCCACCAGCAGUAAGUCUUUCUGAAGUAUGGUUAGAGUCUAACAGAAGGGAAGAGUGAUAAAAACUGGCAAUUAAUUUGUAAGAGAGUAAAACCAGUCUUGACUGGACUUCUGAGGGGACAUCCACAGUAGGCCCGGAUGAGUGAAGGAGCCCCAAUCCUAAAAUCCUUCUUGAGAUUGGUCAGGGCUAUGCUUUCUCAGCAAGGUGAUCCUGGGCUACAGUGGGGUCUUCCAUACUGGUGGAUCCCAGUAGGAGUUCUGGAAACUAACAUCUAACUAGAGGUUCACUGAAGAAAGCGUGGAAGGGACAGGUAGGAGUGACUGACAGGGCCACAUCUGAUGUUUCCAGUGACCGUAGUCUAGUAGCUGGACUUCACUUCAUUACAAACGUUGCCAGCAUGGGGACAUGGGCUUGUUGGCUUUUUGAAAAGGCUUUCUAUGUGCCUGACCCAUAAGGAGGUAGCUAGUGAUUGGCCUCCUGAACCAGCUGGUCCUGGGGGACUUUGAUGGAGAGGGCUGCUUGUUGAUUGUGGUGUCUGUCUCUUCCCAGCUCACAUGGUUGUUCUGUGAAAAGUUCUUCCCUGCAUAGGGACUUUGAGCUCAUGACAUCACCCACCUGGCUUCUGUCCACAUCCACUUUUUAAAAGCUGGACAUGUGGAGCUAGAAAGUUGGCUCAGCAGUUAAGAGCACUGGUUGCUCUUGCAGAAGACCAGGAUUCAAUUCUCAGCACCUACAGGGCAGCUCAUAAUUGUCUGUGACUCUAGUUUCAGGAGAUCCAUUGCCCUCUUCUGGCCUCUAUGAACACCAGACACACACAUGAUAUACAGAUGUACAUGCAGGUAAAGCACCCAUGCACAUAAAAAUAAAUAAUUUUUUUUUGAGACAGGCUCUCAUGAUGUAGCCCUGGCUAUCCUGGAACUCACUAUGUAGACCAGGCUGGCUUCAAACUCACAGAGAUCCACCUGCCUCUGCCUCUAAAGAUGUGCACCACCACACCAGGCUUAAAUAAAUAAUUUUUAGAAACUGGUCACAUAAUGCAUAUUUAUGAAAUAUUAAGAUCAGAUGAACAACAUAUUGCAGUGUGGGGGGUGAGUGGGAAAAUUAGAAAUGAAAAACCAGUGUCUCACAGAACUCUCUAGUGAGGACAUUAUAGGAAGAAUGAGUCAUUUGCCAUUUCUCCACCUUCUUACUUUGAACUCUUUUAGGGUGCAAACAAGGUCCAAAUUAGGUGGUCAUAAGGCAUGGGGUUCUGUGUAAGGUAGAAGAUCCAGAGGUGUGUGUGUGUGUGUGUGUGUGUGUGUGUGUGUGUGUGUGUGUACAUGGCUGGCAUCUAUUUUUCCAUAAAAACGAAAAAUCUCAACAAAAGUGGAAAGUGGGGUCCCCUUCACCUCCCCACCCCCACCCUAGCAUCCUUGUUCAGUUUGCUCCCACCCACCCACUCUGUGACUCACCCCCACCUCCCCUCAGAUCCAUCAGGGCCGAUUGUUCUCUGGUCUCCUCAGUCCAAAGCUCUUGAUGGAUUUGGUAAUUGGGGUAAUUACGGUAAUUUUACCUUAAAGACAGACAGCUGUGGGUUCCCUAUUGGGGUGCUCCUCCCUGGGCCUCCUGCCAGUGUUCAGGGACAAUGGCAGGAGGCUCCCAUUCCCCCUCCCCCCAGAAUACAAAGUGGCUGGGUAGGGGUGAAAGUAAUGCAUAGACAGCCCCUCUAGCAGCUCAGGGUGGGGGCUGGGACAGCACAGUGUCAUUUUCCUCUCUACCACUCAGCACUGGUUCUAGGGAUCUGUCCAGCCCAACACAUACCCACCCACCACCCAGCCCAGCCCCGCCACCUUUUCCCUUUCAGGCCUGAAAACCCAAACAGAUUAACCCUACUGUCCCCCGUGUGUGGAUAAAGUUCCUUAACGACGCCUAAAAGCUCCUCAGCACUCAUCCUUGUAAUCUCUAAGGAUGAGGGAAAAGAAAAAAUGAUGAACCGGGACCCUGAGUGUCAUUUGCCCAAAGCCAGAGAGACCUGCAAGCACCUGCCAGGCUUGGAGGAGCCAGAGUCCACGCUGCUCUGCCCCCAGCGGCAUCUUGAGGAACUGCAUCUUAAUCCACACCAGAGCCAGCCCGCGCUGGAGAAGAUCGCUGAGCUCUGUCUUUGAAUUUUCAGGUUAGAAGGCGUCUCCUAGAGCAGAGGUGUCAACCAAGGCCACCACAAAUGUGUGAGAUCCCCCGCUGGAGUGUUUGUCAGUGAGAGCCCCACGCAGGUCCUCGGAGCAGACCACCAGGGCAGGCUCUUGCAGGGACAUUGGGGGUUGUGUUUAGGGGGAGCUGAGGCAGCCCUGGGGUAGGCUCAGAAUUUCAAGUUGGUUGUUUCCUGCUUCCAAACCCUUCUGGAAUGCAUCUCCUGUGCCUUCACAGACAGUUCACUGCUCUGUCGCCGCUCAGGGUACCUGACCGAGCCUGCAGGGUCAGGAAAAACGACCUCACGAUGCUUGAGCUCCAAGCACGCUGUUUUCACCUGCUUUGGGGGCCCUUCCACCUGUCUCCAGCUUACCCUCAAAUCUCACCCUAAACUCCACUGUGCUUAAGUGGCACAUCCCUGGAAACUCACCUCUCCCCAAGGGAAACACCAGACUUGUUCCAGCUCCCCGACCACCUUCACUGAAGGACCCUCCCUCCAUCUCCAUCUCCAUCAUUUGUAAUUACACAGCAAUUUGUGCGAUGCCUCGUGUUUAACGUUUCUUCCUCCACUGAACUGCAGACUCGAGGAAAUUCGGCCUCGAUUUGGUGUCCUGCAGCAGAGAGAGAGAAUUCUGUUGCUGCAUAUUGGAAGUCACAUCACCGAUCGGCCAGAGACGGUCUCCUUCAGCGCUGGGAAAGCGAGGUGGUGGCUUCAGAAUUGUCGGUUUGCCCUGCAGCCUCCUCACCAUAGUCCUCUACCGGGCAGCACCUCUGGGUCUCUCCCUCCUUGCACGAUGUAGGGCCCACACUUCCUGGACUGAGCCCCCCCCCCAAGCCCCACCUCCUAUACUGGAUAGCCAAUCCCUGACUCGACUGAAGAUUGGAGGUGGGGAAAAGGAGAAAGACCGACUGGAUAGGAAAGCUGUGGGUGUGGACUGAGUUGUCCCUCUGCCCCCGCAGCCGGAAGACCUAUCGGGCUCAUACACCCUGGGUGAACUUCAAGGCGACCCUAGCUAGAAUUGUCCAACUCUUUCUAUUUGCAGGCCUUUGGGGUCAGUUGUCCCCAAAGCUGGCCGCCUCUUUGGUAAAUGUCUCAUUGGCCCAUUCCAUCACAUCCUUUGGGCACCCAUGACGCCUGUAAAUUUCAUUAGGGUUCUCUGUCCAAGGUCUUGUCUGUGACGGAGGUGGUCAGCCUGCCUGCAUGUGGGUAGGGCUGGGGUCGCAGAGAACGACACCCACCCCACUCCAGCUCUUAACCGGAAACAGGACUCCGCAGCAUACACUCUCUCUACCGCUAGGUGGAUGGACACACGACUGAGGCUGAGAACUCCCAGGAGCACUGAACCACUGAGCUGCCCACAGGCCAGCUUUGGAGGGUCCAGCUCUGGGCGCCUCUAAAAUACUUUCCUGGCCUCCUCUCUCUUCUCUAUCCAUUUGAUUUUCUCACACUGUUGUGGUGAAAUAUUGUGUAUCAAAUAAAGCUUGUCUGAGGAUCAGAGGACAGAGUCAGCCACUAGAUUAAACAUAGAGGCCAGGCAGUGGUGGCACACACCUUUAAUCUCAGUACUUGGGAAUCAUAUGCCUUUAAUCCCAGCACUCGAGAUCUCAUGCCUUUGCUACCAGUAUUUGGGAAGCACACAGGCCAUUAAUCCCAGCACUGGGAAGGAAGUGAAAUGGCUGGGCGGAGAAAGGCAUAUAAGGCAUGAGGAGACAGGAAUAAGAGACCCUUUUCUGCUGAGGACUCAAAGACUUUUGGUCCGAGGAUUCAUGAAGAAAGGAUUUCACCUUCCAUUCGGCCUGAGGAUUCGGUAGUGGUGAGAAGUUUCUCUAGUGGCUUGUUCCUUUGUCUCUCUGAUCUUUCAGCAUUGACCCCAA